rnacentral:rRNA from 2 species
CCUACGGGGGGCAGCAGGCGCGAAAACUUUGCAAUACACGAAAGUGUGACAGGGUCAUCCCGAGUGCCGACCGCUGAGGUUGGCUUUUACCCAGUCUAGAAAGCUGGGGGAAUAAGGAGAGGGCAAGUCUGGUGUCAGCCGCCGCGGUAAUACCAGCUCUCCGAGUGGUGUGGACGUUUAUUGGGCCUAAAGCAUCCGUAGCUGGCUGAACAAGUCCCCUGUUAAACCCACCGAUUUAAUCGUUGGUCUGCGGGGGAUACUGCUCGGCUAGGGGACGAGAGAGGCAGACGGUAUUCCCGGGGUAGGGGUGAAAUCCUAUAAUCCCGUGAAGACCACCAGUGGCGAAGGCUGUCUGCUAGAACGCGCCCGACGGUGAGGGAUGAAAGCUGGGGGAGCGAACCGGAUUAGAUACCCAUGUAGUCC